GGAGGGACACACAGAAUUAGUUGAUAACUGCAGCACACAAUGGUUGUAGAUGGCAACAACUGAGGUGGAGAUAACUGUAAACAAGGGGGAGAGUUUCUGCUGGGUUAUGACUGAGAAAUAAUUCUGUCUUUUGUUAGCUGGACCGAGGGAUUCAAAUGGUCCUACAAGUUGUUAUACUGUUGCUGCUGUAACUCUUCUGCCCUUGCAUGGAAAAAACGGAGGGGAGGAGAAAAGUUCCAUUUUUACAUUCACAUACACCUUGCCCUCAGACAGUAAACUUAAUCUUUUCUGGCAUUGAGUAUGAAUAUUUUUUCUGUUAAGAACUUUUAGGUAGAUGGAGUAAGUGUGUGUAAUUCCCUGCCUAUCAUACGUAUGAGGGUUUCCUGUUUUUUCAUUCCCUCUCUUCCCGUCACAUCCUAGAUCUUCUCAUGCAUGACCAACUCCUACUCAUUACCUGUCAGACAAGGUGCUCUUAAUUAGUAUUCACUCAGAACAGAAGUUAUGGCCAGAUUUGGCUCAUUUAAUUUUAAGGGAAUUUUCUGAUAAGCUUUUUUUUUUUCUCUCCUGUAAAUUACCAUGUUAUGCUUGAACCAAUACCAUUUUUUUUUCCAUUUACAGUGGACGUGGAUAUCCAGUUAGGAAGGGCAUUCUACUGUCUUCUCUUAGAGCUGAAAAGAAGCUUCAGCAUUCAGGUCUCGCAGAAAAUUGUACACAAGCAUGCACGAUUCUCCAGAUCUACUCUAACUCCUGUCAUCCAUGAUCUAAACAGAAGUAAGAGGGACAAUCCAUGGCCAAUGUUGCAGACAUUAGAAAUUAAAAAUGUUGGAGCUGAAGAACUGGACAAAGAGUUUCACCAAAAGCAGCAUAAGAGGAUGGGAAGAAUCCAUUGUUUUCUGAACUUAUUCUUAGUCCAAUGUUUGGACUGAUGCGGAAAUCAGAAGCUGCUGCUUUCCUUCUAUUCUACAAAAUAAAAAAACUCCAGUGUCUUCAUACUGAAACUACACUGAACACACAUAUACUUUUUAUGUUUAAAACUUAAAAAUUCUGCUAAGUCUUUGUGUAACAUCCCGUUUCUCAUUUAUUUUACAUGUAACUAAUCUUUUUCUCUAGUUUCCUCAAUCUUACUGGACUUCCUCCCCCCAAUCUAAUCUCACUCUGCUCUUUUGUUUCAUCUUUAAUUAUCAAGCAUUUUAAAAUCAUAGUUGAUUCUCUCUGUCUGAUUUGUAUGUCUUCUUGCACUGAGAUCUGCCUGAUGUUCUUGCCUUCAUGCAGUAUAUGUAUUGAGCUCUUCCUUUGUCUUUUUAAUUUUUCUUUUCAUUGCCUUCUGUAUUUUGGUGGAUUUUCCUUCUUGACAAGCUUUGACUGGUCGGUUUUACAAGCACAGAAACCAUGUAUAAGUAGCAGUUACAGUUUUCAGAUACUGACCUCUGCUCCCUACUGUAGAUGUCACUUCUGGCAAUUGGAUACAGUGAGCACGUACUUCGCACUGUAUCAUAUGUUGUCAUUGGCGUAGCCUGUUUCAGGAAGGGGGCUCUGAAAUGGACAAGUGCUGCAGUGGCUUUCUUCUCUCGUGCAGACCUGGUCUUCCCACAUUAACAUCUUGUCUCAGAGCAAAAAAUACUGUACUACUGAGAAAAUGUUAAGUAACACAGAAGGAAAGGUAAUGAAAAAACUGCUGGAAAGCAGUUUGUCUUACCCUUCACGUUUGGCCUGCCUAUCAUAUUUUUAAAAUGUUUUAUUUUUGCAUUCUUUGCUCCUAGAUGUGGAAUGUACCUUCUGUGGCUGUCAUCUGUAUCCCAGCAGCCAUCAUGUCAUUUCCAAAGAUUUAUAGUAAGCGGUGUUCAAGUUCCCAGGAAGGGAACUGAACCAGCCUGCACAGAGUGCCAAACCCAAGCUGAGUCUGUUCAGUUGCAGAUACAGCACCAAACCACUGAUAGUUAAGCUGUAAGGGACUAGUGUGACUGCAGAGUCCCAUAUCACAUUGUAACCCCUAGAUCUGAUGAGUACUGAAACAUCCAGCUGGCUCUGUAGGCUGUUGAUGUGGACCUCUGAAACCGGAAUGCAGCUACACAGCUUUCAGGUGUGGCCUGGCUCUGGAAGUAGUUUAGUCACAUUUGUAUGGUGUUGUUUUGACAGGUGAGACUUAAAAGAUUUCCCCCGUAAGACUGGUAAGAUCUACAUAUGCAAGCUCUAGUGUCUCUGCAUCUGCAGCCUUGUUAAUCUGCCAUUUGAGUAAACAAACCCAGCAUAACUGUCUUAGAUAAAAAUGGUUAUAUGCUGAUCAAGUUUUAGAUCAGAAUAAUGUCUCCCAAGAGCUCCAGAGCUAGUUGAUGGGAAAAGGCAUCUUUAAAAGGAGUAAAUCAUCAUUUACUCCAGGCUAUGUCUAUGUGCCAGGUGAUUUUGUAGAGUAUUCCUACUGGUCUUAAGUCUUAAACUUGCCACUUCAGUUUUCUUUCAGUACUACACACUCUCUCCUUCUCCUGCCCCCCUUCAUGAAGACAGUUGGUACUAUAACCUGCUAAGGCAUUUGUAAUUUUAGGAAUAGAGAUUUUCAUUGCUGCAGAUUUUGAAAUACACUCUUCUCAGACGUGAAUUGGAUUGAGCAGUUGAACAGUGUUACAUGUGGUGUGGGCUACGAUUGUGCUGUUCUGAAGAACACAGAAUCAGUUUCAAAUAAAAUGUGUUGGGGUUUGAGUCACAUACAUUUAUUUGGCAUGCCUGUAAUCUGUGCAUCCCAGCUCUCCUGCCCCUUUUAAGUCAGAGGAAAAGAGAUACAAUAGUAGCAGAAACUUCUUUUGUUGACUUGAGUAAGCAAAAAUAGCAGUGUUAAUUACCAAAACUGAUAUACCUGCAUAUAUCUGGUUAGAAAAGCUCAGGAGGCUUUUUUUUUUCCCUUGCCAUGAAAUUCUCUGCUAGGGUGGUGUUAGCACUCUCAGGCCUCCUGGAGCAGUCAGGUUGGGAGUGCUUCUGGCUGCAGGCAAAGGAUGACACAGAGCCAGAAGUUAUUUUAGCUGUCAGAAUACAAGUUAUGCUCAUUUCAUAUUUUGAAACAUGGAAAGCCCAUGCUAGAAAAAAAGUACGUAUAUUUUAAGUUAAAGAUGAAAAUUACUGAAAUGAAAUUAAAAAUGAGAUUAAAUGGAAUCUGUGGCCAUAGGCAUUGGUCUCAAGGAUGUGUCUCGUGAUCAGCUGUCUGGCAUUCUUCAGAUUACUUUUCCAGUUUACUGCUUGUGCCUUCCUGGUUUUUUUCUUCUGUUAAGAACAAGCCUGAGAUCAUAGCAACGGGCUGGCGUGUAGUCACUGCUGGGUAUAUAACCAAAUGUUCAUAGACAUAACAAACUGAUCACAUCUAGGUAACAGUUGAUGUACUAUAAAAUAAAAUCUGGUCAUGCAAUCAUAUGCUAAAAAAUAUUUUAGAAUGUGGUACCAAGACAAGUGUUUGUCUUUUAGAUUUCAUGUAUAGAAGUAACCUAUUCAUCUGUAAUGAUAUUUUACAAAUAUAGUAUAUUAAGCCAUUCUUUCAAAAGUUUAUGGAUACCUACUUCCAUUUUUUUUUUCUCAUGACCCAUGAUGGGAAAAGAAAUGUCUUCUUUCAGUGUUUCUGCUUUCAACCAUUUGUAACUUGUCUCAGAGGUAUAUUAGGAUACAAAGUGAUUGUGUCAUCAGAAAAUGUCAUACAUUAUCACCUCUGUCCUAGUCAUUGAUUGUAAACUGCAAGCACGAGACAUUCUCCAUGGAAAUAUGUUGAUUUGUCUCUGGCUGUAACUGACAGUGAGUCAACAACAGACUCUGUGUCAUCCUUUGCUUAAAUCAAUAGGGUGUUUUGCUAAAUUUAUAUUGCUAUUUUCUUUAGAAGCAACACAGUCCUUUGAAGUGAGAAAAAUUAUAUGCCACCAUGAUUAAUAGUUUGAAACCAAACAGUUUAAGAGCUUCCCUUGAACGACUCAUGUUAAAAGGAAGUUACUGUAUUUUGUAUCUUAAAUAAUUUGCCUGUAAGUUUGCCCGAUUUUGUUAAACAAACAUGGAAUUAUGUGUAAUUUAAUUUGUAUGAAUUAACAUCUAACUUGUUGAGCCUCUCUUCUGUAUAUGGGUUGAUAGUACACUAUCAUUAGCCCUCUUACUAUCAUUAGUCAUCUGGCCUAUAUGCAACAAUUUCAGAAGCUUUUAAGACCAACCAUCUACUUACAGGGACAAUCUGUUAUGUAGGUAUUUCUUACGUGCUGCUUUUAUCUUUAAGAAAGAUGAGGAAAGUUAUCUUUAUAUUCUAUAUAAUAUUCUACGUUUUAAGUAUUUUUAUGAGAAACAGAGAAAGAAUAUUUUAGAUCCAACAGACCUAACAAAAGAUUUGUGAUCAAUAUUCAGCACGCAGAUUGCUUUUUAAAUGUCUUCUAACAAAACAUUCUUUUAUUUUGGCUGCAUCCAAACUCUUGAUGCUUUCCAAAAAAACAAUUGAGGUUUUCCUCCAAAUUUGGCAGAGGUUUUACACCAAUUUUUUUGCUUUUAUCUGCUUUUUGGAUGAUGCAGUUGACCAUUGUUAAGCCUUUGAUGUAUGUGCAGAUGGCUGGGGCAGUCAAAGUGAAACUUCAUAACUGUGUCUGAGGAGCACAUUAUUUAUAAGUUAUAUGAAACUAGAUUGUCAAGAGAUGUAAAGGAUCUCUGGAACAGAUCUGUUCUCAACCAGUUAAUUACAAUGCUUUCCUAGAAUCCCUCAUCUGUGGCUGUACACGACACCUUUAGGUAUGUAGUAGAAGAAAUUAAAUGACCUGAAUAUUCUCCCGUUUUAUUCUUCCAGUUCUUGAAGCACUGGUGAGAAAGGUAAAAAUUAUGAGAGGUUAGCUAAGUAAGAUACUGCCAUUGAAAUUAAUUAAUUGAAUGUGGCUAUGGGGAACAAUAUACAUGAGUGAACUAUAUGGCAGUAGCAAACAUACAGUUAGUUUCACGACUUUAUGGCAUGUAAAGUUAGUGAGAAGAUUAAGGAAGAGCAAAGGAGAGAAGGUGGGUAAAAGGACAAGGCAGGAAACAAAGGAUGAGAGAGAAGGAAAAGAGCAUGACAUGAAACCAGGAUCUGAGAAGUUAGAAUAGGUUGCAUAAAAUAGCUAAUGAGACUAGUGCAAAACAAGGCUCAAGAUUUUAACUUUUUUUUUUUCUCUUUUUGACUAUACUAACCUCUCUUUGGUCAUUUCUGCAUCUGUUUCUGCUAGCACUGACUGCAAUAUAUUUUCUGCCUUCAACUAUUCUCAUACAAAGCCAUAUAGAUUGAAGCACAACUAGACUGUAGGUCUGCAUCAUGGAGGAAGUGUCACUAGCACAUUUUAGAAAGGUUCUGAAAAGCAAGAGCAGCUAAAGAAGGAAAAGGAAAAAAAAAAAAGAUUCUGAGGGCAAAUCUUGUAAGUGAAAUAUGCUGAUCCUAAGAGUGGUAGACCUGGGCUCCUCCAGGCAUAACUAUUUGCAUGAUACGCUGAGUGCUUUCAGGUGCCUCAUUUCUAAGAGAGAUUCACUUUUGACUGGAAUGGUAGCCACUGAGUACCAGGGAGCAGCAAGAGCAAGACUCUAAGGUUAAAGGCAAACCAGGAGAUGAGAGCUGCCACAGCACAGGAUGAGCAGUGCCCUCAUUGCCAGUGCACAGUCCAGUAGCGCCUGAGCUAGAUAAGCAACGCAGGGUGGUAACAGCAACAGAUCCUAUGAACAGUCCAAGGAACAUAAGGCAAAAAGCAAGACAACAAGCUAGAUAUAAGGUGAACCCAGGAAACCUGAACAGCAGUGCAGGGAUGGGAAUGGUAGGUACACCUACAACAUAGAGCAGCCUGAGGCUAAAUGGAUCUUCUGGGGCUGUAGGCAGGGGUUGUGAGUGGCUGUCCCAGGUGGGGCUCGUCAGGGCCAUUACAGCCUAUUGCUGCACUCAGCCCUGACUUUGAGCUUUUCAACUGAUCAAGCCCAAAGGGAGCUCUGUCAUGACAUAAGGUGGGAGGCCAAACUUUGCAGUGAAUACAUGAGUGCAGGGUAUAAUAGCCAAAUUAAGAUUGUACUGAUUAGUCAUGUUUAACGUACACCAAGUUAAAAAGCUUCUGAUUGUUUCAGAUUACCUUAGCAGGCAUUAGGUCUCUUGUAGAAAUUAUAUGGAUAAUUGUUGUCAAAUAGGUUUGUGAUCUUUCUCAUUUGUUUUAUUUGGCCUAAUGCAUAUAUCUUAAUGUGCAAGGCAAGGACAAGUAAGCAGACCAAUGCUUGCAUUAAGCCUUGAGUAAAUGCCGAAGGCCAGUGUUUUCCCCUUACUUCUUCUUAGUGGAAGAUCUUGUUAAAGCCAGCUCAUUCUUGUGUGCAGCUACAGGACUGAGCAUUUUGUAAUCCAGAAGAUCUGAAUCAGUGCUGAAGUCUCCACCCUUUACAUCAUGUGAAAGAUUGUUUCAUAUUGCUUCCUGGCAGCUCUCCAUUUUCUACUAACCCCAAUAAAUAAAAAACCUAAAUAAUCAAAUACUUGGCAAUAAAACAACUAUACAUCUUCAUAUGGAUUAUAUGCAUUUAACUGUUUUACUUAGUCUCUACUUUUUCAUACAAUUAGAUGAAAAGAAAAAAAUCCAUUGAAGAAAACCCAUGUAUGAGAGAUGAAGUUAUUUGAUUGGGUUUUUGUACAGUGUGAAAAUUGCUCUGCUGAAGUCUGCAACUUCUCAAGUAAAAUAACAGCCUGAAAUCAAUGGGGCUACAUGCAAGUGUGAGGGUAUACCUACAUGGCGUUUCUUCUUGUGUGUGCGUUGAGCCUUUCAGUGGCAAGAAAGUCUUCAGUGGACUCUGAGAUAGAAAAGUAUAAAUGUAUUCUGCUAACAUUUUGCUAUACAUUAUAGCAAUGGCAGAAUGUGAUCCUGCAACAAUUAAAGUCUUAGUAUAUUGAAGAAAAAUAAUACAAUUAAUUAUUUUAUGUGCUACGUUUGCCUCUGUAUGACUUAAUACCCUGCUACUGAAGCAGGCAAAAAUGCAAGGAUAAUACAAACCUCUUUUUCCUCCCUCAAGGAAUGGAACUUUAUUUAACAGAAUUCUGAACAAUUUGUUAAUGUUAGAGAAUGCCUACUAAUUAUUUCCGUUGGCUUUCCUGGUUUUAAAGUCUGUAUCUAGCUAAUUUUCAGGUGUUUCAGUGCUUCACAUAACCAUUUCCUAUUGAAAAAACAGAACUCUGAGUGUACUCUAGAUUACAGGUAAAUCUGUCUGUGGCAGGCAAACGUUUACAUUUAAAUCUCACUUUGGCUUCUAAGUAGUCGGUAAUUGCAGAGCCCUGCUGAUUUAAAGCUCUUGUUCUCUAGAAAGAGGGCUUAAUCUGCAGAAUGGGAAAUGAAGCUCAAGAACUUUCCUUUCUCUAAGAAGGUAACUGAUACUUUUUCUCAGUGUGUUUUAAACACCUGAAUAAAGCCAUUUGUAUUUUUGGCAUAUAAUAGCAAACUGAACCCAUAAUGACACAAAGUUAGUGAUUAAGACCUAUUAAUAGAAUAGCAUCCAAAUGGUUUCAAGUCUCUAGGACAGUAGAAGCCACUAGAAACUAAGCAGCAUGUAAAUAAGCACGUAGCUAAAAUUCGUGACAAAUGAUAUUAUUUGGUAUCCAACUGGGUUCAUGGGGUUUCUUCAUAUACUUCUGUAUUAAGGGUAAAAUUACACAGACAGAUGAAAAAUAGGUGUAUAAAACAAAAAGACCCCACACAACUAAAGCUCUUUAAUCACACUCUACUUUCUUUGUACACAUCUUUUAACAUUCAAAAAAAAUUAUAUGAAGGCUACUGCAUAGCUCUUAAUGUAUUUCAUGAUAGUCUAAUACCUUCCAAAAGUUGCCAGAAUCUUUAGAGGAAUAUUUACAAAUAUAAAAGAAAAAGGGAUUGCAGUAAUUUCCUGAACCUCAGCUGUGAAGAAGAGACAGUAGAAGCAUCUUAUUUGCUGGUGUAAUUCACUAGAAACAGCUUUUAGAAAGCCACAAUGAAAGAUGCAUCAUAGGCAUCUAAGGGUUGUUCUGAAUAAUUUUACAAAUGGCAUACUUUCUUGGAUUCUAGUUUAGGGUUUUUUCUUCUCUGUUAUGACACAGAAGCAGCUUUAGACAUUUUUCAAGCCAACUUUAUCCCAUAUCCUUAAAAAUUUUUGUGAAAUUUCUUGCUUAUAACUUUUGGGCCCGUUAGACCUUGGCUGUCAGUGUAGCUUCAAUUCCUUCUGUAAUGUGCAUACACUGCUGUUGCAAGUUCGUCUAGCCAAGUGACCCUGAGGCUUUUUUUGUGGCCUUUCAUUUGGUACUAUCUUUACUACCGCUGACAUUAAUAAAGUCAAUGUAUUACCUUUCUUUAUUCUGACUUUCUACCCUGCAGCCAGGAAGGAUCAUUGCAGAAGAUAACAGUAGCUCUUCUUUAUUCUGGUGAUUAAAUAUAAGAGAAGUCUUACAGAACCUUCAUUUAAUUCAUUCACUGAUGCCCUUCAAACAUUAGAAUUAAUUUCUUUUAUCACAGGCUAAUCAUUUUUCUGCAACAGAAACAAACUAAGUAUAUGGUUGCAGUGUCUGUGUGGCUUUUUAAAACUAGUUUAGCUCUUGCAGAAGAGCGACACCAUUCAUCGCAAUCAGAACUUGGGAAUCAAAACGCAAUCAGGCACUGAGAGUCCAGACUGUAAUAAGUACUUGAUUUGUGACUCAGAGCUGCAGGGGACUGUAAUGUCUGAAGACAUUUCUAGUUAGAGGAUGAAAUAUGCUUUUCAUUUCACAGAAAGGAAAAGACAUGGGAACACGGCAAGGUACAGACCCAGCAUUCAAAUAAUGCCAAUUGCCUUCUUAGUGAGACAUGAUGUAAACGUUCCAGCGCACUAGGAUGUAAAUCUGACCUACUAUAACCAGUUGUCAGAUUUUCAAACCAGCUUACUCAAUACCUACAUUUUAUUGGAAGCGAUAAAAACUUAUUAAAAUAUAAAUAUAGAUAUAAAAAAAUUUAACUCUAGUAAAACCAUUCCUUGAUGGUUAUUAUUUAAGCAUCCUCUAAAUAUUUUUAGGGUUAUUCUUGCACACUUUUUUUUUCUGGAAAUGGUCACAGGGUCAGGUAACACCCAAAGGUGGUGUUAUUGCAAAGGUCAGUAUCAUCCAAAAUCUCUUCAUUAUUUCCUCUGCCUAAUAAUAGAGUGUAAAUUCUUUGGGAACAGGGAAUGUUAUUAUAUGAUUUUAUUACCGCAUCUCACCUGUGUAGCUCACUAUCACAAUGCUCCCUUUUAACAGAUCAAGUAGCUUCUGACCUUGUGAUAUUGAUGUAGAUAUCUUUCUGCUAACAACUCUUCUUAUUUUGCAAGAGUUGCUUUCAGAAACACAGUCACUGGUUGGUGCAAAGGAAGGAGGGCGUUAUGUUGUGCUACUCCUAAUUGUUAGUAAAUUUUAGUGGGACCUUGGAUCUGUCAUAAGAUUCAUAUUUAACAAAAAAUUAUCUGAAACUGCUUAUUUAUGUCAGCACUGUAUUAAGGAAUGUUUAUUAAAAAGCUGCAGAGAGAUUUGUGUUUAGUCAGCAUCCUACUGUUGUUCUCCUCCCAUCUGGGAAGUUAACACCAGAGAGCUUGAUUUCUUUAGCUUAUUUUUAGAUUAUUUUUCUUCACAGUGUAAUUACUAGAGCAGCAUUGUAAUGCUAGCAAAACCCAAAAGCUCAUAGACCUGAAACACUACAAAAUGGCUGGGAAGAAUCCAAACUAAACCAGUGAUAAAAACUUGAUAGGGCUUCUUCCUCCUUCAAACAGAGGAUGGACUCUAUUUUUCUAAAAGGACUUGGAUCUGCCAAUCAAUUCAAUAAGUAAACAUCUUUACCCAUAGAGAAAAUUUAAAUAUAAUUCUUGUUAUAUUUAAAACCAAAAACUUUAAUGGGAGUUGAAGAUUAAUUUUUAAUAAAAUUAAAUAACAGUGAAGUAAUGAUACUUUUCAUUCCCAUAGCUUUUCAGUGUAAAGAUAAUAAUUUUCCCAGAUCUUUGUAGAAUAGGCAUGUGUCAUUAUCCUUAUUUCAUAGCGAGCACAAUGAAGCACAGCAAGGUUAAACAAAUUUCUCAGAAUUAGAAAAAAAAUAAUAGGGAAACCCAAGACUAGUACUCUAAUUUCAUCUCAUCUUGUUCAGUUCUGUUUUCACGUGAUCAGCCUUUAUUAAGUUGUCAUCUGAAGCACCUUUUAACAGGUUAUACCCAUGAAGGAUUUAAAUGAGAGGCUUCUAAAGUUCAUUUAGGAGAUGAACUAUGAAGACAGGGGAUAUAAAAAGCAUUACACUGAAGAUGAGUUUUGUCAGGAAUAGAUGGUUUAAAGUCCCUGUCAUGCUGCUUAGUUGGAUGCAAAUUUCUUGUGAACUUUCUUUUCAUGACUGGAGCGCUCACCAAAACAAAACCAAAAACAUAACUUUUUUUUUUCCAUUAAUAGGUCUUACCAGAUUUUGGAGGCUUCAAAGUGAGAUUGCUAGAAGCAAAACAGUCUCCUGGAUAAAUUAGAUGAUAGAUACCCAGUUUGGGCAGCUUCAAAAGAGAAGAACCAACACUUCGAAGUCAGUGGUUUUUCUGUGGCAAAAAAAAAAAUCUUUAAUAUUUUAACGUAUAGGCAGUAUACCAAAUGGAGUUCCUGAAGUUAGCGAGCUCUGCGGUCCAUGCUCAAAGUCUGUACAGUUGCAUCUCACACCAUGAAACAAUCGUACAAAACCGGUUAUUCCUUCAAGUCCUGAGUGCCUCUGAUGAGCCAUACUGCUGAUGGGUGGACCCCAGCCUGCUGUGGUGGGAUAGACCAGAGCUGCCUGCAUACGCAGCCUCAUACACUUGCUCCCCAAAGUGGCAAUGAUCUGAAGUUACGUACUCAUCUACAAACUUGAAGAGCUGGAAUGCUUUGUAUGAAACGAUCAUUGGCUACCAUAUUCUGUACAUCCUUGUGUAAAAAAAAGUGUUCCACUGAAGAAAUCGCUUUUCAUUCUUAGUAUUUGAUGACUUAUCUACAUUUUAGAUUUUUUCUUACAUAACAAAGUUUCAUCAACAACUUCAAAGGUAAUUCAGUGUAUUUAUAGAAAGCAAUGUGUUACUUUAUGUAGUUUAUUCAGUAAGCAUUGUUUUUAAUGCAUUUCAGAACUACAGAUGUUUCCAAAUUUUGUCUGCUAGGUUGAAAUAAAGGUGAUUCUUUACCCUCUUUUUUUUUUUUUCUUUUUUUUAAAAAAAGAUCAUUCUAGAAAAUUGCUAGUGUGCUAUACUGAAGAAGUGUGUAUUAGAUUAUCUGGUAACACAUAAUUACGCAUUGAUGCAUUAGUAUGUGAACUCUCCUGUUGUAUUGCUUUCCCUGGAGACCCUACUUCUACCUGAAGAACAGAAAUACAACAGUAGUAUGAAGUAGCAAGAUAUUACUUGGUAGAAAAAUGUUUGUGAGAGAACUUCUUUUCGAAUCUCAAGAUCAACAAUUUGUUUUUUCAUGAUAAAGUUGUUUUCGUGUUUGAAAUCAAGGGAUCGUUUCAAGGGCUGCUAAAACCCUCAGACUUUGAAAAAAAUUAAAUGCACACAAGCCAAUUGCUAUGAAAAGCGGCACAGAACUACGACAAAUGCUGUUUUCUUUGUGUUUUCCCCAGUCAUUGUCUUUCAUUGCUAAUGACUAUGUUAAUUUUUGUUGAUUUAUAUAAAAUUACAAUUUAUAGAUAUAAAU